rnacentral:tRNA from 1 species
GGCUCGUUGGUCUAGGGGUAUGAUUCUCGCUUUGGGUGCGAGAGGUCCCGGGUUCAUAUUCCAGACGAGCCC